rnacentral:rRNA from 1 species
CCUACGGGGGACUGCAGUGAGGAAUAUUGGUCAAUGGGCGCGAGCCUGAACCAGCCAAGUCGCGUGAGGGAAGACGGUCCUAUGGAUUGUAAACCUCUUUUGUCGGGGAGCAAAAGACGCCACGCGUGGCGUUCCGAGAGUACCCGAAGAAAAAGCAUCGGCUAACUCCGUGCCAGCAGCCGCGGUAAUACGGAGGAUGCGAGCGUUAUCCGGCUUUAUUGGGUUUAAGGGGUGCGCAGGCGGAAGAUCAAGUCAGCGGUAAAAUUGAGAGGCUCAACCUCUUCGAGCCGUUGAAACUGGUUGUCUUGAGUGAGCGAGAGGUAUGCGGAAUGCGUGGUGUAGCGGUGAAAUGCUUAGAGAUCACGCAGAACUCCGAUUGCGAAGGCAGCAUACCGACGCUCAACUGACGCUCAUGCACGAAAGUGUGGGUAUCGAACAGGAUUAGAUACCCGUGUAGUC